UGAACUUUAGGCAAUAAUUGGAAGUAUAUAAGAAACAAAUGUAAAAAUGUCUUUCCUUAUUUUUAUUAUCCAUUUUAUUUUCAAAGAUGUUAUCAAUAAAAACUAUGUUGGCAGCCGUAAUGGUUAUAUGCUUGUUGCUGCCAUAUAUCGAAGCCUCUCCCGGUGAAAUGAAUCCUCUGCCUUUAGUGAGAAUGAGAAGACAAUCCGAUGACGACCAAUCCGAUGACGACGACCAACUUAUAACUGCUAAGAAGACGGAGACCGAUGAUAAAACAAACUUAGAAGUCCGUGUUAAUGUUCCAGAAGAUCUUAUUAAAUCUAGUAGAAAACUGCUUACUGUUUUGAGACAACGCAUUCAUCAAGCUAAAGAAAUUUUAUCCAUGUUCAUGUAAGCAGCCCAUUAAGAUGAACAGGCUCCUGAUCUUGUUUCAUUAAAUAAAAUGCUGAUUUCU